rnacentral:rRNA from 1 species
AUUGAACGCUGGCGGUUGGCCUAACACAUGCAAGUCGAGCUGAGCGGCGGACGGGUUAGUAAUGCCUAGGAAUCUGCCUGGUAGUGGGGGAUAACGUCCGGAAACGGGCGCUAAUACCGCAUACUAUCAGAUGAGCCUAGGUCGGAUUAGCUAGUUGGUGGGGUAAAGGCCUACCAAGGCGACGAUCCGUAACUGGUCUGAGAGGAUGAUCAGUCACACUGGAACUGAGACACGGUCCAGACUCCUACGGGAGGCAGCAGUGGGGAAUAUUGGACAAUGGGCGAAAGCCUGAUCCAGCCAUGCCGCGUGUGUGAAGAAGGUCUUCGGAUUGUAAAGCACUUUAAGUUGGGAGGCAUAGCCAGAAGAAGAAGCACCGUCUAACUUCGUGCCAGCAGCCGCGGUAAUAC